CCACAACAAUACAUCUCUGUUCCAGGACUGUGAGAGUUUUAUGGAUGUGCUGUAUGGAAUACAGAGUGGCAUGUCCAAAGAAGUGAGCAUGGAGGUCACAGCAAAAAAAUCAGAGUUUGGUUGUGGCAAAGACGUUUUGCCAAAGGACUGCCUUGCUGUUUUGGAGGCUGCAUUCAAAGAUUUCCAGGCCGUGAUAUGCAAAAUGCAGGGUCCAGGAGCCAUCACAGGGGACUGUUUGACUAAAAAUGAACGGCUGCUCGUCCUGUACUACCUGGAGGCUGUUAUCAUGCUGAAGCUAGUCCAGCGGCCUGGAAUUGUGACACACAUGACUGUUGAGGAUUGGGAGGGGAGAAGCCGGAUAGAGAAUGGUGUCUGUGUUGCAGUGAAGGAGCACAAAGUACCAUUGUCACACGAACAGGAACUUGUAAGUUUAUAUUGUCUUUUAUAUCAUAACAGCAAUAAAUGUAUUGUGUCAAAUUUAGACUUAUUUUUUUUCUUUCUUUAACUAGUGGUUCGACUUGCACUUCAAUGAGGUGCGGCCAGUAAUGCUGCAAGAAAACCGCACCGGCGACGAUGUGGCAGUUGAUUCAUUUUUUGUGUCAAGUAGUGGGAGAUCGAUUUAUAAUCCCUCCAACGACUUAAAAAGACUACAUGACAAAUACAGUCUUCCCAGUGUGACGUGUGGCGAUGCCCAGAAAGCAUUUGAGGCAGCAGCACAAAACCUGUCAGAAGUGGAGAGAAAUGUGGCAGCUGAAAGGAACUACAUGAGGAGAACAUCUUCAGAUCUGUUUCUGGCUCUAAGUGUGCUAGACCAGCUCGCUGAGAAAACACCGUAAGCAUCUAACAACUGGGAUGAUGCUUAUUUUUAAAUUUGCAACCCAC